rnacentral:lncRNA from 1 species
CGCCGCUUUCUUCCGGUAGCUCGAGCUCCUCUCUUGCGGCCUCGACAUUCAAAGUCCUAGUGGACAUAACAAGGGGAUGGCGACUAGCAGAAACAACUCCACGGGCAUCUUUGUUCGACCUGCCACGAGAACUCUAUUUGACCUGUCAAUGUGUACAAUCCCGAUGACCCAAGAAGAUCAACAGAAGCAAAGAGAACUCUGUUUGACUUGCCCACAUCUAAACUGUUGGAUGUCUACGACAAUCACAAAAGAGAACAUCUGCACCAUACUGUUAGUUUCUUCUUCUUGUGUAAUAUAUAUUGAGCUGUUGCAAGAAAUCAGAAGAAUUAAACACUGCUAGAGUUUUUUGUAGGACAAAGAUGCAAGCAGUGCCAGUAGGCAUUGGAGCAUCGAAAUGCAAGUGCUACGGCGUGCGUGCGAGGAUUGGAGAUGGCUGGUCGCCGAUGCGUAGGAACAGGGGUUAACACAUUUUUUAAAACAUCUUCGGUCAAGAUUGUGAAGUUUAGUUAACACAUUUUUCACAUGAGCAACACAUCCAUAUGUUGGAGCAUGUUCGCCAGCUAGUUCAAAGAGAAAAAACUGCUAAACAAAUUUAGCCAUAUUAGUUGGAUGGCAUAGCUUUGCACACACGAGAGGAUUUUCAUGGGAUCACUACUCACGACUGUUUUCGGAGAGGAACCUGGGAUGCCACGAAGCACCGUGCGCUGCAG